AGCGAACGCUGGCGGCAGGCCUAACACAUGCAAGUCGAACGGACUCUUCGUAAGUAGUUGCGCACGGGUGUGUCGCACGUGGGAACGUUCCUUUAUGCACGGGAUACUACUUUUAAACUUGUGCUAAUACCGGGUGUGCCCUGCUGAGGCAACAUAUAUCGCGCUUGGAGCGGCAGGCGUCUGUUUAGCUAGUUGCGGUGGGAAAGGCGGACCAAGGCUACGAUCAGUAGCUGGUCUGAGAGGCAGAGCAGCCACAUUGGGACGGAGACGCGGCCCAAAAUACUACGGGAGGCAGCAGUGGGGGAUCCAGCGAAAUGGGGGAAGGGCUGACGGAGCCAUGCCGGGUGAAUGAUGUAGGUCUGAGGAAAGUAAAACUCUUUAAUCGGGGACGAUACUGACGGUACCCGGAGAAGAAGCCCCGGCUAACUUCGUG
rnacentral:rRNA from 1 species